rnacentral:rRNA from 1 species
GAUGAACGCUGGCGGCGUGCCUAAUACAUGCAAGUCGAGCGAAGAGCCGAGGCGCGCGCUCGUCUGACGUUACCGGCGGAUGGGUGAGUAGCACGUGGAUAACCUACCUCUCAGACAGGGAUAACUUCGGGAAACCGGAGCUAAUGCCGGUUAAUACAGUCAACUGCAUGGUUCAAUAGUGAAAGUCGGUUUUGCUGUCUCUUAUCACGGCAUCCGCGCUUCAUUAGCUAGUUGGUAAGGUAACGGCUUACCAAGGCAACGAUGCGUAGCCGACCUGAGAGGGUGAUAGGCCACACUGGAACUGAGAAACGGUCCAGACUCCUACGGGAGGCAGCAGUAGGGAAUCUUCCGCGAUGGGCGAAAGCCUGACGGAGCAACGCCGCGUGAGUGAUGAAGGUCUUCGGAUCGUAAAACUCUGUUAUUAGGGAAGAACAAAUGUGUAAGUAACUAUGCACGUCUUGACGGUACCUAAUCAGAAAGCCACGGCUAACUACGUG